UGGGGAAUCUUGCGCAAUGGGCGAAAGCCUGACGCAGCAACGCCGCGUGAGGGACGAAGGCUUUCUGAGUUGUAAACCUCUUUCAGCAGGGACGAUUGUGACGGUACCUGCAGAAGAAGCACCGGCCAACUACGUGCCAGCAGCCGCGGUGAUACGUAGGGUGCAAGCGUUGUCCGGAUUUAUUGGGCGUAAAGAGCUCGUAGGCGGUUUGAUAAGUCGGAUGUGAAAUCCCCAGGCUUAACCUGGGGUCGCCAUUCGAUACUGUCAUGACUUGAGUCCGGUAGGGGACCACGGAAUUCCUGGUGUAGCGGUGAAAUGCGUAGAUAUCAGGAGGAACACCAGCGGCGAAGGCGGUGGUCUGGGCCGGCACUGACGCUGAGGAGCGAAAGCGUGGGGAGCGAACAGGAUUAGAUACCCUGGUAGUCCACGCCGUAAACGUUGGGCACUAGGUGUGGGGCCUAUUCAACGGGUUCCGUGCCGCAGCUAACGCAUUAAGUGCCCCGCCUGGGGAGUACGGCCGCAAGGCUA
rnacentral:rRNA from 1 species